CAGCAGCCGCGGUAAUACGUAGGGGGCGAGCGUUGUCCGGAAUUAUUGGGCGUAAAGGGUUCGCAGGCGGCCUAUUAAGUCAGAUGUGAAAUCCCAUGGCUUAACCAUGGUAAGCAUUUGAAACUGAAAGGCUUGAGUUAAGGAGAGGAAAGUGGAAUUCCUAGUGUAGCGGUGAAAUGCGUAGAUAUUAGGAGGAAUACCAGUGGCGAAGGCGACUUUCUGGACUUUAACUGACGCUGAGGAACGAAAGCGUGGGUAGCAAACAGGAUUAGAUACCCUGGUAGUCCACGCCGUAAACGAUGAGUGCUAGGUGUUGGGGGUCAAACCUCGGUGCCGCAGCUAACGCAUUAAGCACUCCGCCUGGGGAGUACGUACGCAAGUAUGAAACUCAAAGGAAUUGACGGGGACCCGCACAAGCAGCGGAGCAUGUGGUUUAAUUCGAAGCAACGCGAAGAACCUUACCAGGGCUUGACAUGCCUCUGAUCGCUCUAGAGAUAGAGCUUUCCCUUCGGGGACAGAGGACACAGGAGGUGCAUGGCC
rnacentral:rRNA from 1 species